UAAUGUGAGAAUGAGAGGAGGGUACUUCUUCUACUAGAAGAAAUAAUUGAGAAGAAGAAGGCAUCUUUCAAUUCAAAUGGAGGAGAGGAGGUACUCUGAGUUCUGAGUCUGCCAAUGAGAACAGCAGUAGUACCUUAUUCUGACCCCAAAACAACAAUUGAAGAAGACUUUCACAUAGUAAAACAAGACGAGAUUUGCACGUGUUGAGAUGCCUAGUUCUCUCUCUUUCACAUAUGAUUUGGGAGGGAUUAUGGGGGCCUGAGCUUUGACUAGGCCAGCCCUUGUAAAGCCACAAGGAGCUCUCAUAAGAUCAUUGGCUGUGGCCCAACCCAAGUUAUCCUCAAGCGUGCGGUAAUGUCAGAGUUAGCUGAACCAAAGGCUAUUUUUUAUUCCUUUUGAGUUUUUUUUUUAAAUUUUAUUUUCUAAACUUCCAAAGUUAAAAAAUGGAGUUUCAUUUUUACCAAUCCAAAGUUGAUGUCAACCCCACAUUAUUAGUUGCCAGGCACGAAUUUUAGAAUCAUUAAAAAGAAAAAUAUGUACUCAGUUAUUUAUCUCUGAUCAAAAGUGAGAAGAAGUAGUGAUGUUUCUCUGAACACCGCCAUUUUAUUUUAUUUUUAAUAGAAUUAUUAUUGUAUC